GUCAUAUGUGCUUAGCAUGGCAUAUAUUCAAAUUGAGAUGACAGAGAGAGGAAUAGCAUGACCCCUUCAUAAGAAUAACAUGCAAAGUGACAGAAAAUUACAUACUUUAA
rnacentral:snRNA from 1 species